GCACCCGUAGCUCAACUGGAUAGAGCGACAGUCUACGGAACUGUAGGUUACAGGUUCGAGCCCUGUCGGGUGCA
rnacentral:tRNA from 1 species